GAAGGGAAAGAUCGGUUUGUCCCGUUCCUGUCAUUGCUAGGCCUCGGGUGCAUUCAUUUGCAGUUACUUUUAUCGUGUUUCUUUAACACUCCUCAUUCACGUCUGCGAGGGAUGUGACGGCGACCGCAAAAGAGCUCCAACUCACCUCAUCUUCCUUGUGGUUCCGGAUGCCACGUACCAGGUCCUGCAAAUUCUUGUCAAACAUUCGGUCAAUGCUGCCUUUCACAAUUUUCAGAGCCAUGUUCCUUCGGGUCGGCUUUCUCCGGGAACCUCUUCAGCGCUGCACAAACCAGUCCCUCCUUCAGCAACAACCAAUGCCGCGAAACAUGCCAGUUUUUCUCUCUUACAUCUGUACUUAACCGUGGAAAGGAGAGGAAUCAGUCUGGUUCUUUGCUCAAUAAUCACAACAUCCUUCCUCGGAUAAGGAGACCUUCCUGACCUACACACAAUGUUCCAGUGUCUGUUCGUGACAGGGUGGGAAGAUUAUCCACAGGCCUUUCUCUCAUGGAAUUAUUCGGGCUGGAGGGAAGAAAUCUUAUCCACAACUCACCAUAGUGGAUUCCACCCAUGGUUUCUUGAUCCUGCAAUCAAUCAUCUUAAAUAAUGGGUUCGUUAAGACAUGCAACUAAGUUCAAGCUGAGUAUCUAGAUUGAGGUCAACAAGCCAUUACUUGAAUUUUCAAAAAUUUGUGUAAUUAUGGAACAGAAUCUUCUAAAGCCCUUAUCCUAGCUUUGGACCUCAAAUAGCAUAAGAUGUAUAUCUGAGGCAGAUUUUCAAAAUCCUUUAAACCCUAUCAAGGCAGAUGAAGGAAAGUCUGUGUUUAUGUAUGAAUGU